UUUCAACAACGGAUGGCUCUUGGUUCUGGCAUCGAUGAAGAACGCAGCGAAAUGCGAUACGAAUAGAAUGUGAAUUGCAGAAUUCAGUGAAUCAUCGAAUCUUUGAACGCACAUUGCGCCCGCUAGAUAUUCUGGCGGGCAUGCCUGUUCGAGCGUCAUUUCAACC
rnacentral:rRNA from 1 species